UAGUAAGCUCAUUGUCUUCUGCCGUAUUAAACUUUAAUGGGUAGCUGGUAGACAAUUAACACUCUGGGAGGGCUCAAACCACAUAACCAAAUGUGCCAAGAUAAUCCUGAGCUCACUCAUUGUCAGUCCUGAAGAUUUUCCUCAGAGAAUCUUUCAUCUCUUUGCUCCUGAGACUAUAUAUUAGAGGAUUACAGAGUGGUGUUAUCACAGAAUAGAACAAGUGGAUUUUUAUCUGAGAUCUACAACUUAAGAAGAAUAUAAGUGAUGUAUAUUCUCUUCUACUCUUCAUGUAUGGAAUAGAGGGGCUUGCACAGUAGACCCACAGGAACAAAGAAACAAGACAGGAGUUAGAUGCAGAGGAGAGAUUUCAACAAAAGUUUGGAAAAGG
rnacentral:lncRNA from 1 species